AGUGUAAUUUUGAAUGUGAUUUCUAAAUUAAAUUAACAUGAAUUUGGUUCACUUAAAAAUGACAUUGGAAAUUUGAAAGAGAAUUCAAAAAGAGAAAAUGUUUCCAUGAUUUCUAUUUCAUAUUUUUAGGAAGAACCAAAUAAGGCCUAAGGGGGAAAUCACUCGAUCACAGCAACAUAUAAAAAAAAAGUUAACGUUAAAAAAUCAAAGCAUCAUUGCAAGCAUAAAGAGAACAGCCUUGCUGUAGUUCAUUUCUAUACAUAUGCAAUUUAAAAGGAGUGCUUGCUUAAGAAACCAAGAGGAUUUGCAAUGCAUACACCCAUCAUAUGUAUGGAUUUAGUAUUUGAAUUAACUCAACAG
rnacentral:misc_RNA from 1 species